rnacentral:piRNA from 1 species
UAAUUGGUGAUUUUGAAGCAGGUAGUGG